UAAACAAUUGCAACAGUAUUCGACGAUA
rnacentral:sRNA from 1 species